rnacentral:rRNA from 1 species
AGAAUGAACGUUGGCGGCGUGGAUUAGGCAUGCAAGUCGAACGAAUCCCGGGGGCAACUCCGGGGGAAGUGGCGAAAGGGGCAGUAAGGCGUGGCUAACCUACCCCGGGGAUGGGGAUAGCCUUCCUAACGGAAGGGUAAUACCCGGCGAUGUGGCGAGGGGACAUCCUCUUGCCAUGAAACGAAUUUCGCCUCGGGAGGGGGUCACGUGCUAUUAGCUUGUUGGUGAGGUAACGGCUCACCAAGGCAAAGAUGGCUAGCGGGUGUGAGAGCACGACCCGCGCCACUGGCACUGAGACACUGGCCAGACUCCUACGGGAGGCUGCAGUCGAGGAUCUUCGGCAAUGGGCGCAAGCCUGACCGAGCGACGCCGCGUGUGCGAUGAAGGCCUUCGGGUUGUAAAGCACUGUCGAGGGGGAGGAAAGCCGUAAGGUUUGACCUAUCCCUGGAGGAAGCACGGGCUAAGUUCGUGCCAGCAGCCGCGGUAAGACGAACCGUGCGAACGUUGUUCGGAUUCACUGGGCUUAAAGGGCGCGUAGGCGGCUUGCCAAGUCAGGGGUGAAAUCCUUCGGCUCAACCGGAGAAGUGCUUCUGAUACUGGCAGGCUGGAGGGAGGUAGGGGCAGAUGGAACUUCCGGUGGAGCGGUGAAAUGCGUAGAUAUCGGAAGGAACGCCGGUGGCGAAAGCGAUCUGCUGGACCUCUUCUGACGCUGAGGCGCGAAAGCCAGGGGAGCAAACGGGAUUAGAUACCCCGGUAGUCCUGGCCCUAAACGAUGGGUACUAGGUAGUGGACUUGACAUGGGUUCACUGCCGAAGCAAAAGUGUUAAGUACCCCGCCUGGGGAGUAUGGUCGCAAGGCUGAA